rnacentral:rRNA from 1 species
GACGAACGCUGGCGGCGUGCCUAAUACAUGCCAGUUGAGCGCUGAAGGUUGGUACUUGUACCGACUGGAUGAGCAGCGAACGGGUGAGUAACGCGUGGGGAAUCUGCCUUUGAGCGGGGGACAACAUUUGGAAACGAAUGCUAAUACCGCAUAAAAACUUUAAACACAAGUUUUAAGUUUGAAAGAUGCAAUUGCAUCACUCAAAGAUGAUCCCGCGUUGUAUUAGCUAGUUGGUGAGGUAAAGGCCCACCAAGGCGAUGAUACAUAGCCGACCUGAGAGGGUGAUCGGCCACAUUGGGACUGAGACACGGCCCAAACUCCUACGGGAGGCAGCAGUAGGGAAUCUUCGGCAAUGGACGAAAGUCUGACCGAGCAACGCCGCGUGAGUGAAGAAGGUUUUCGGAUCGUAAAACUCUGUUGGUAGAGAAGAACGUUGGUGAGAGUGGAAAGCUCAUCAAGUGACGGUAACUACCCAGAAAGGGACGGCUAACUACGUG